CAGUCGCCGCGGGAAUACGUAGGUGGCAAGCGUUGUCCGGAAUUAUUGGGCGUAAAGCGCGCGCAGGCAGAUAGGUCAGUCUGUCUUAAAAGUUCGGGGCUUAACCCCGUGAUGGGAUGGAAACUGCCAAUCUAGAGUAUCGGAGAGGAAAGUGGAAUUCCUAGUGUAGCGGUGAAAUGCGUAGAUAUUAGGAAGAACACCAGUGGCGAAGGCGACUUUCUGGACGAAAACUGACGCUGAGGCGCGAAAGCCAGGGGAGCGAACGGGAUUAGAUACCCCUGUAGUCCCUGUCUCUUAUACA
rnacentral:rRNA from 1 species